ACCUAAGUAGUUUAUUUAAAACAAAAGAUUGUGGAGCUUUAAAAGGAUUCAUCCCUUGGGUA
rnacentral:tRNA from 1 species